rfam:Gossypium raimondii Chr03_contig_19, whole genome shotgun sequence.
UGUUAAAAAUUUCAUUUAUUUGUACGGUUAAAAACUAGCGUGUCUGAUGAAAUAACCAUAGAGUAACAUGUGACAUGCCAUGUGUAUGUCAUGUUGACGUAUAAAGAUCGGUUUUUAACAAUAGAAAUAGAUGAAAUUUUUAACA